AAUAUUAAACAUCAAUUCCUAAAUAUGAACAACAAUGAACAUUACAUAAUCUUGAUUAUAAACUUAUAAUUUAUUGUAGGUAAGGAGGCUUGCGGGUACAAAAAUUUCAGCAAAAAAUUAAACAUUUAUUUUUUCAUUACAAAUUUUAUUUAUUACACUAUUAGUUAUUACUAUAUGAUAUGGCACAAACAAAACCCCCAAAAAUCUAUUCUGUUUGUCUCAAGAUGAUAUUAAAAUGUUAAUUUCAUUGAAAAAGCUCCAAAUUAUCUCCCUUUGAUGCCAUUUUUUUGGCAUUAAAAUUGAAAUAUCCUUUUUAACUCAUCGGUGACCUAUAUUUUUAAUUAUUGUUUGCAAAUUAGCUGUACAUUAACUAUUAUUGUAAAAUUUAAGCCAUUUCUGUAAUUUAGUUCUUUUUUUAUUUCGAUAUUAUCACUAUUUCUGCUAUUGGUUCAACAGAAAAUAAAAAGGACAUUUAACAAAUGUGUAUGCUUAUUUCGGAGGUAGAUUGAAGGCUUAAAUGAAUGGUGACCCCGUCUUUUAUUUCAUUUUUCUAUUAAGUAUAAGAUAAAGUUAAUCUAUAGAGAAAUAUAGUGAAAUCAAUCAUUAGAAAAAAAAUCGAUUUAUACCCGAGAGCCCCCUUUACUACAACUUAUUGUGGGUUUAAGGUGGUACCAAACACCUUCACUAAAAUUAAUUUGGCUCGUUUAAUUUUUAUAAAAUUUGACAAAGUAUUUACUUUGACCCUUUGACAAAAAUUGAAAAUUUCAAAAUAUUUGAACCAACCAAUUUAUCAGAAAAAUAACACUGGUUAUAUAGCAGUUUGACAAACACUAAUUUUGAUCUUUGAGAAGCUUAUUAUUCCCUUAACAACACAAUUUUAUUAAAACGUUUAGCUGAUUUUAAAGAGUUAUCUCCCUGUAGUGUUAGGUACCACCUUAACAUACAAAAUUUUGAAGAUGUAAACAUAGUUUUGCUCUAUAUUGUUUUUUUAUUUCUGAUUUAUUAAAAACAAAGAUGAUAUAUCAUAAAUAUAUUUUUUGAACAAAAAAGUCAUUUAUAUAAGUAUAAACUGAAACACUAGAACCAACGCCUUGCUUAUAAAUGGACAGACUACUAGACGUAUACAUGGCGUCCAAGUUUUAACACAAUCUAUCUCUAUCAAUCUUGAUUUUAUGCACCCGGUAAGUAGCUUACAUGAUGAGAUAGGCAUAUUUUCUACAAGUUAAAAUGGCAAGAUACAAAUAAAGAGAGAUGAAAAUAAACAAACUUGCCCUACAGUUACUGCUGCGCUUAUCAUAUGAAUGACUAGAUCAAAGUGUUUUAAAAGAAAAUCAUUUUUUUUUCCAAAACAUUUUUUUUAACCAUUAAUAUCAUUUCAGUCUUAAUUUAGAGUAAGCUGCCACUGAACUUUUAUUAGGUUUAGAGAACAUUCUUCAUAGGGUAACUAUAUUCAGUUAGUGUAGUUUAAGUGACAACAGUUUACAAAAAAUUAACCAAAUUUCAAAUGAUUAGUCAAA
rnacentral:lncRNA from 1 species